rnacentral:rRNA from 1 species
CGUACCUUUUGUAUAAUGGGUCAGCGACUUAUAUUCUGUAGCAAGGUUAACCGUAUAGGGGAGCCGAAGGGAAACCGAGUCUUAACUGGGCGUUAAGUUGCAGGGUAUAGACCCGAAACCCGGUGAUCUAGCCAUGGGCAGGUUGAAGGUUGGGUAACACUAACUGGAGGACCGAACCGACUAAUGUUGAAAAAUUAGCGGAUGACCUGUGGCUGGGGGUGAAAGGCCAAUCAAACCGGGAGAUAGCUGGUUCUCCCCGAAAGCUAUUUAGGUAGCGCCUCGUGAACUCAUCUUCGGGGGUAGAGCACUGUUUCGGCUAGGGGGCCAUCCCGGCUUACCAACCCGAUGCAAACUACGAAUACCGAAGAAUGUUAUCACGGGAGACACACGGCGGGUGCUAACGUCCGUCGUGAAGAGGGAAACAACCCAGACCGCCAGCUAAGGUCCCAAAGUCAUGGUUAAGUGGGAAACGAUGUGGGAAGGCACAGACAGCCAGGAUGUUGGCUUAGAAGCAGCCAUCAUUUAAAGAAAGCGUAAUAGCUCACUGGUCGAGUCGGCCUGCGCGGAAGAUGUAACGGGGCUAAACCAUGCACCGAAGCUGCGGCAGCGACGCUUAUGCGUUGUUGGGUAGGGGAGCGUUCUGUAAGCCGUUGAAGGUGUGCUGUGAGGCAUGCUGGAGGUAUCAGAAGUGCGAAUGCUGACAUAAGUAACGAUAAAGCGGGUGAAAAGCCCGCUCGCCGGAAGACCAAGGGUUCCUGUCCAACGUUAAUCGGGGCAGGGUGAGUCGACCCCUAAGGCGAGGCCGAAAGGCGUAGUCGAUGGGAAACAGGUUAAUAUUCCUGUACUUGGUGUUACUGCGAAGGGGGGACGGAGAAGGCUAUGUCAGCCGGGCGACGGUUGUCCCGGUUUAAGCAUGUAGGCGGAGGUUCCAGGUAAAUCCGGUACCUUUUAACGCUGAGGUGUGAUGACGAGGCACUACGGUGCUGAAGUGAUAAAUGCCCUGCUUCCAGGAAAAGCCUCUAAGCAUCAGGUAACACGAAAUCGUACCCCAAACCGACACAGGUGGUCAGGUAGAGAAUACCAAGGCGCUUGAGAGAACUCGGGUGAAGGAACUAGGCAAAAUGGUGCCGUAACU